rnacentral:rRNA from 1 species
UACGGAGGGGGCGAGCGUUAUUCGGAAUUAUUGGGCGUAAAGGGCGCGUAGGCGGCUGAACAAGUCAAAGGUGAAAUCCCUCGGCUCAACUGAGGAACUGCCUUUGAAACUGUUCGGCUUGAGGCCGGGAGGGGGUAGCGGAAUUCCCAGUGUAGCGGUGAAAUGCGUAGAUAUUGGGAGGAAUACCAGUGGCGAAGGCGGCUACCUGGACCGGUUCUGACGCUGAGGCGCGAAAGCGUGGGGAGCAAACAGGG